rnacentral:rRNA from 1 species
AUUGAACGCUGGCGGCAGGCCUAACACAUGCAAGUCGAACGAGUGGCGGACGGGUGAGUAAUGUCUGGGAACCUGCCUGAUGGCGGGGGAUAACUACUGGAAACGGUAGCUAAUACCGCAUACCAUCAGAUGUGCCCAGAUGGGAUUAGCUAGUUGGUGGGGUAAAGGCUCACCAAGGCGACGGUCCCUAGCUGGUCUGAGAGGAUGACCAGCCACACUGGAACUGAGACACGGGCCAGACUCCUACGGGAGGCAGCAGUGGGGAAGAUUGGACAAUGGGCGCAAGCCUGAUGCAGCCAUGCCGCGUGUAUGAAGAAGGCCUUAGGGUUGUAAAGUACUUUCAGCGGGGAGGCGUUACCCGCAGAAGAAGCACCGGCUAACUCCGUGCCAGCAGCCGCGGUAAUAC